rnacentral:rRNA from 1 species
UGAAACCGUCUAGAGGCAAACGGAGAGGACCGUAUGGUCCGCCCGUCGGAUUCAGUCCGCUUGCGCGGCGCGGCCGCGGGCGUCGCAUCCCUCGUGGGAGCGGCCCCGCGUGUCGUCGUCGUGCGGCGGCCGUACUUUCGGCGGGCGGAGCGCCACGACCGGUUCGCGGGCGGCGAGAAACUCUCGGGCAAGGUGACCUCCGCCCCGGCGCAGGAGCAUACAGGCCCGGCGAGCGCAGGCCCGUCUGCGGACCGAGGAAGACCGUCGCGGAGCGGCGUCGACCGCCCGUCGUGGGCGCGCGUUCGAAUCGGGGGGACUGGUUCCAGUGCCCUCGGACCGCGUGCGUCUAGCGGCGGGACGGCCCGGCGUCGCGCCUGGGGUCGGUGGCGAAACGGCCGGCAACCUGUCCGACCCGUCUUGAAACACGGACCAAGGAGUCUAACAUGUGCGCGAGUCGUUGGGCGUUACGAAACCCGAAGGCGCAAUGAAAGUGAAGGCCCGGUCUCCGGCCGGCCUGGGUGGGAUCCGGACGGUCGCGGCCGUCCGGCGCACCACCGGCCCGUCUCGUUCGCCGCGUCGAUGAGGCGGAGCAAGAGCGUACACGUUGGGACCCGAAAGAUGGUGAACUAUGCCUGAGUAGGACGAAGCCAGAGGAAACUCUGGUGGAGGUCCGCAGCGAUUCUGACGUGCAAAUCGAUCGUCAAACUUGGGUAUAGGGGCGAAAGACUAAUCGAACCAUCUAGUAGCUGGUUCCUGUCGAAGUUUCCCUCAGGAUAGCUGGCGCUCGUCGUGAGCAGUUUUAUCCGGUAAAGCGAAUGACUGGAGGCCUUGGGGACGAAACGUCCUCAACCUACUCUCAAACUUUAAAUGGGUAAGACGUCCGACUCGCUCGAUUGGA